AACGAACGCUGGCGGCAUGCCUAACACAUGCAAGUCGAACGGGAUCCUAGCUUGCUAGGUGAGAGUGGCGGACGGGUGAGUAACACGUGGGAAUCUGCCUUUUGGUUCGGGAUAACCGCGGGAAACUGCGGCUAAUACCGAAUGCCCUCGAGAGAGGAAAGAUUUAUCGCCAGAAGAGGAGCCCGCGUCCGAUUAGGUAGUUGGUGGGGUAAAGGCCUACCAAGCCGACGAUCGGUAGCUGGUCUGAGAGGAUGAUCAGCCACACUGGGACUGAGAUACGGCCCAGACUCCUACGGGAGGCAGCAGUGGGGAAUAUUGGACAAUGGGGGCAACCCUGAUCCAGCAAUGCCGCGUGAGUGAUGAAGGCCUUAGGGUUGUAAAGCU
rnacentral:rRNA from 1 species